CUCCCAGUCCUCUACCAUUCUGCUCUCACAUCGUCCGCCUGGCUCCCCUAGCAGAGCCUGUCUGACCCCAAGUUGGAGGGGCUGGGAAGCCCCGGUGCCCCUGGCAGCUGUCGGGUCUUGUCUCCGUGAGACGGUAGCUCGCUGUGGCUAUCCUGCCCAUUGGGCUGGCCCAAUGCCUUCGAGUUCCAGCUGUGUCUCCACCUCCCUGAGGGACCUGAGGAGGUCACGGAGCCUCGCUUUUCCCACCUGCACAGUGGAGAUUGCAUUGGUUGGUCUCUGAGGGGCCUCUCAGCUCCGAUUUUCUGAGAAAGGAGGGGAGAUCUGGACACAGAGAGAAGGAGAGAAGUUGGCCACGUGAACACGAGGCAGGGAUGGCAGGUAAGCAGCUGCAAGAUAAGGAGCUGCUGGAAGCUAAAGGAGGCAGGAAGGACCCUCCGGAGCAUCCAGAGGUAGCAGGGCCCUGCUGACCCCCGGUUUCACACUUCUGGCCUCCGGGACUGCGAGAGAGUAAAUUUCCUGUUCUUUUAAGCCACCAAGUCGGUGUUAAUUUGUUGCAGUUGUCCUAGGAAACCGAGAGGAAUUUCCAGAAAUGAAAAAUAUAGUCUUUGUCAUAUCUCUACAAAGUUUACAGAAAAGCUUGCCAACCCC
rnacentral:lncRNA from 1 species